GACGAACGCUGGCGGCGUGCUUAACACAUGCAAGUCGAACGGUAAGGCCCCUUCUUGGUUCCACGAGUGGCUAACGGGCGGGUAACACGUGCGCAAGCUGCCCUUCUCUCUGGGAUAACAGUUUGAUACAGCCGCUAGUUCUUACUAUACAUCGUCUCAUUCUUGAUGGGUUUUGGAAAGCAGCGGCGGUCGGGGAUGUGCUCGCGGCCUAUCAGCUUUUUGGUGAGGUAAUUGGUCAACAAGGCUUCGACGGCUAGCCGGCCUGAGAGGGCGACCGGCCACACUGGGACUCAGAUAGGGGCAAGAGUCCAACGGGAGGCAGCAGUGGGGAAUAUAGCAAGAAGGGCGGAAGGCUGGUGCAGCAACGCCGGGUGCGGGAUGACGGCCUUAGGGUUGUAACCCGCGUGCAGGAGGAACGAAGAGUCACUGACGGUACCUACAGAAGAAGGACCGGCUAACUACGUG
rnacentral:rRNA from 1 species